rnacentral:rRNA from 1 species
UGCCAGCCGCCGCGGUAAUACGGAGGGCGCAAGCGUUACUCGGAAUCACUGGGCGUAAAGAGCGUGUAGGCGGGUUAAUAAGUUUGAAGUGAAAUCCAAUGGCUCAACCAUUGAACUGCUUUGAAAACUGUUAACCUAGAAUAUGGGAGAGGUAGAUGGAAUUUCUGGUGUAGGGGUAAAAUCCGUAGAGAUCAGAAGGAAUACCGAUGGCGAAGGCAGCCAUCUGGCCUAAUACUGACGCUGAGGUACGAAAGCAUGGGGAGCAAACAGGAUUAGAUA